GAUGAACGCUGGCGGCGUGCCUAAUACAUGCAAGUCGAGCGAACAGACGAGGAGCUUGCUCCUCUGACGUUAGCGGCGGACGGGUGAGUAACACGUGGAUAACCUACCUAUAAGACUGGGAUAACUUCGGGAAACCGGAGCUAAUACCGGAUAAUAUAUUGAACCGCAUGGUUCAAUAGUGAAAGACGGUUUUGCUGUCACUUAUAGAUGGAUCCGCGCCGCAUUAGCUAGUUGGUAAGGUAACGGCUUACCAAGGCAACGAUGCGUAGCCGACCUGAGAGGGAGAUCGGCCACACUGGAACUGAGACACGGUCCAGACUCCUACGGGAGGCAGCAGUAGGGAAUCUUCCGCAAUGGGCGAAAGCCUGACGGAGCAACGCCGCGUGAAUGAUGAAGGUCUUCGGAUCGUAAAACUCUGUUAUUAGGGAAGAACAAAUGUGUAAGUAACUAUGCACGUCUUGACGGUACCUAAUCAGAAAGCCACGGCUAACUACGUG
rnacentral:rRNA from 1 species